CAGUGUUGCAGGCUCUGCCACUUUGUGUGGAGUCUGCUGCCCCCUAGAGGACAAGCAGCCAGGGCACUUGGGAAGGCACCAAACUGUAACUAGAAAUGAAUCCGGUUGCCCUUGGGUGACUGGAGGCUCUGAGUUUCAACAAGGAAGGGCAGAUGGGGCGCAGCUCCAGAGGAUGGGGUUCCAGAGGAGGUGCUCUCUGACUCCGAAUAUUAAAGGACCUGGGGGGUCGGACACCGUAUCUCUGUGAACUUCAGUGGGAGUGGAUUCGCCUCCGCUGUGCCAAACAAGUUUCUCCAGACCAUACCCGGUGGAUUUCAGACCUUGAGCCGCCCUGCUCACAGACGGGCCUCUUCUGACUGCCGGGGUUGUCCCCCGGUUCCUUCCUUUGAGGGAAAGAGAAGCGUGGCGGUCAAAGCUGCUGUCCGUACAGUGCACACCACACUGGCCUGCGCGGUGCGGCGCACAGCACCACGCCACUGUAACGCCCACUUACAGGCGGAGCCUGCGGAGACGCAGGGGUGGAGUGAAGUUGAACAUGGGUGGAGAUAAUGGUCCAUCGGGCAGGGCGUUGGGCUCACCAAAUGGCAUGUUAGCAUCCUAAGGAUGCUCUAGCAAGGUAACAAAAGUUGGGAUUUCCUCCAGAAAUCUAUUCUUUCCUGAAGACUGGAAACAUUGACAACAUGUGCCCGGUCUUGGAAAGACGGGACAUCACUUGCCUCGUCCAACUUCUCAUGGCUACGGGCACUUCUGCCCCCACCCCCUGGCUUACAGGAGCAUUCUCUAGAGAGGAGAAUCCAUCUUCACAGUUUUCUGUGCACCUCUGACUUCACAUGGUAUUUUCUGCACACAGACAUCAAUACUAUCGGAUUCAGAGCCCACCCAUUUCUAUCAUGAGCUCUGCUUGACUACGUCUGCAACGACCUUAUUUCCAGGUAAAGUCACUUGGCCUGGUUCAUUUUGUUGCUGUGAUAGAAUACUCUGGAAGAAAAAAAAACCCUUCCAUUGUAGGGAAUUUUAGGCAACAUGAAUCUGAAGCAUCUAGUCAUAUUCAUAGUCAAGAGCAGAAAGAAUGAAUGUGUGUGUGUGUGUGUGUGUGUGUGUGUGUUCAUUAUCUACAUUUGUACCAUCUAGGACUCUCUAUGUAGGGAAUGCUGUCACCCACAGUGGACUGAGUUCUCCCACAUCAGCUAACAAUCAAAACAGUCCCUUCACAGGCAUGCCCACAGGCUAAUCUGGUCUAGAAGAUUCCUCAUCAACUCUCCGUAUCCAGGUGACCCUAGUUGUGUAAUGUUGACACCAUCACAGCUACACUUGUAGGUGCCAGAUUCAGGAUGUGAACAUAUCUCUUCAGGGGGCACGGUUGAGCAUGUGACAAAACCUGGAAAUGUCACAUUCAAGUUGAGUGACUGAGUUGUAUUUCACUGUUCUACAAUGAUAAUUUUAAAGAACACAGACAAGGGAUGAAAUGUCUGUCAGUGAGCCUUCUCUCAAGCAAUUGGCAAAAUAAAGAUUUGAAUUACCUCCCCUACAAAAGCUGGUGAGGCUCCCUAAUCUGUGAGCUAAACCAAGUCGCCUGCACAGCACAGGCUAACCCAAGGAGGCCAUGAUUUAAAUGCAUCUGGACAUACCCAGCCACAGUGGGACAGACCAACAAAUAUCUCCCUGGAACCGUCUAGACCCUGAGAGAUCAUGUUGUCAAAGAAGCUCAAAAGCCAUAAGUAAAAUGGCUUGGGACCAGCGGCGAAGCAGGGAGCUGCAACUCUGCCUUCAGGGAAAUAAAGACUGGUUUACAGUGAGCCAGUUAUGAGUGAUUAUGGUUUAUAGUGAGCCAGGUAUGAGCGACUAUGGCCUGAGAACAUAGAUUUUUAGGUUAGCCUGAGUGACGGAUCCACCGAGCAAGAAGUGACAAUGAACUUUUAGAGCCACAGGGGAAAGUCAUAAGUCAAUACAGUGUCCUGGUCACUGGAAGGAACAUCAGAUUGGUGGGUAGCGGCACAGUGAAGAGUCACCUCUGUAGGGUUCGGGUGUACCUGGUGGCAUCCUUAGCUUUAGGGUAGGUGAAGCUAGAGGUCUGCCUCACUUAGAGACACCUUCCAAGAAGCUGGUCAACUAGUCAUGAAGUUGCUAUGUGGGUUCACUCUCUACUAAAGUAGGCUAAAGAGACCCCUGUGUGGUUUGGGCCCAGGUUCUACAGCUUUCCGUUGCUCACAGUCAUGACAUUCCUGUUGGCCACGGUCAAGCCAUCUGCAGGGAUCUACUCCACACAGAUAACAUUCUUCAGUUUACCCCUGGGCUCAGUCCUGCGAGUUCAUCGUUCAAUUUUAGAAAUGCCUUAAAAGCUUAGUGGAAGUUGCAGGAGCUUGAUGAGCUCCGCUCCAAGCCUGGGUUAUCUGGGAUUUACUCAGUUCUCAACAAAAUGUUCUGCCCAUGAUGGACAAGCCAUGUGACCCCUGCCUUUCUGCUGAAGGUCAAAGAAGCAAGAAAAGGCAAACAGACACCCGGUGCCCCCAAGUUCCAUCUACAUACAGCCAGGGAUGCUGGGAACUCUUGAAGCAGCAUACCAGACGCUCAGCCCAGUGCAAGGAUCUCACACACACAAGGACAUGGGUACAUAUGUUUGCAUUUCAUCAGAAUAACGUCAGGAUACUGCAGGCCACCAUAGCCAUAAUUGACCUGCCAAAGUCUAUCCACUACGGCCACGACUGGCUGGUCAGAGUGAGUUUCAUACAUACUGCAGGCUGCCGUGCUGGCUACCCCUGCUGUCUCUCUUUCUCCAUUUUCUAACUGUAACCAUGAACUAUGAAGACGGGUCUUUUCUCCACGUGUGUGCCCAAGUCCAGUGAAGCUGGACAAGCCUUGUACUCAGACCUGCAAGUCACACCAGAUCUUCACUCAGCAAUCCUGCUUUGUCACUUUGACCCCUGAGUACAGACAUCACAGCACUGGGGGUUGGGGGGAUUGACACUUGUUGGCUUUCUGUUCCCUGGUUAACACCAAGGAAGCGUUCAGAACGGCAUCUCACUGGGUUUAUACGGGAGGGCUGGCCAUGAGUGACAAUGCUCGGGCCUGUCGUGCCUGUUCACAUGCAAAGGUUUGCUGCCACCUGACUUCCACUUCCCAUUUUCCCAGUCAGCCCCGCCCCCCAUGCACACACCAUAUCCCCUACCCAGGGGGCAAGGGGCACUGCGCACAGGAAGUGGCACAUUCUCUGGCUUGAGCAGCCCCUCAACAUCUCUCUUGGAGGGAGCCCAAUUUUCCAACGCUACCCAUGCAGAUACGCUCUUCCCCAGAACAUUCAAGUCCUGUCAGCAGAGCCAGACGACAGCUGACACCUUACAGAGGCGCUCUUUUGUAUGGCGGGGACACAGCAGCGUGUGCAUAGGAACUUUUCAGUGGAACUCAGCUCUCCUGGAAGCACUGAAUAUGAGGACUGAGGACGGGCCCAUCAGCACCAGAGUCCGUCUUUCUGAACCUGUGGCCAGCCAGUCAGAACACAGACAACUCCCAAUAAAUAGCCCCCCGGGAGCUGGGGUGCGGGGGUCAGCAUGGAGUAAUGGUAGACACUCGGAGGCCUGUGCUGCUGAUGGGACUAACUGAGGUUGGGCCCCAAAUGCAAAUCAAAACAACUCUCAGAUACCAUCUCACUCCUAUCAGAAUGGCUAAAAUCAAAAACACCAAUGACAAUUUAUGCUGGAGAGGAUGUGGUGA